GACAGAGGGUGCAAACGUUGUUCGGAAUUACUGGGCGUAAAGCGCGUGUAGGCGGCUAAGUAAGUCGGGCGUGAAAUCCCACGGCUCAACCGUGGAAAGUGCACUCGAAACUGCAUAGCUAGAGUCCUGGAGAGGAAGGUGGAAUGCUUGGUGUAGAGGUGAAAUUCGUAGAUAUCAAGCGGAACACCGGUGGCGAAGGCGGCCUUCUGGGACAGUGACUGACGCUGAGACGCGAAAGCGUGGGGAGCAAACAGG
rnacentral:rRNA from 1 species